rnacentral:lncRNA from 1 species
GUGUUAAUGAAUAUUCAUAACUCUACACACCUCCAAACCACGCAGCAAGCAUUUACAGUUGUUUCUCGGAAUUUUUGUUUGUUGUCUUCUCAGCAGCCCAGUUAUGUUUGCUGCCAGCAGCCCAGGGUGCCACAGUCACUUGUACAAUUCCAUACGUUCAUAUCUCCACAAUCAGAACAGAGCACAGCCCAUCAUUGGUAAGAGAGUGUCCAGCAUC